rnacentral:misc_RNA from 1 species
GAUGAAGAACGCAGCGAAAUGCGAUAAGUAAUGUGAAUUGCAGAAUUCAGUGAAUCAUCGAAUCUUUGAACGCACAUUGCGCCCCCUGGAAUUCCGGGGGGCAUGCCUGUUCGAGCGUCUCAGAGACGAACCCUCGCGCGGGUGUACGCGCGGUCGUGGCUGCGGUGGCGUGCCCGAGGCGGCGGCCACCGCGCUGGAAUCCAUGGGCGGACGCCUGCCGCGUGGCCGAGCGUGAUAUGACGCAUUGGCGCUCGCACGCGGAGAGGCUGCCAGCCCUGGCCCGUCUGUCGGGCGGGGGAGAGCAAGACACGUGAACUCCUCGAAUCAGGUAGGGAUACCCGCUGAACUUAAGCAUAUCAAUAAGCGGAGGA